UACGAAAUGUGCAAACGUUAUUCGGAAUCACUGGGCUUACAGGGUGCGUAGGCGGCCAGACAAGUAGGGUGUGAAAGCCCCCGGCUUAACCGGGGAAUGGCGCCCUAAACUGUAUGGCUGGAGUGAGAUAGGGGUGUGCGGAACUUCCGGUGGAGCGGUGAAAUGUGUUGAUAUCGGAAGGAACGCCGGUGGCGAAAGCGGCACACUGGAUCUCAACUGACGCUGAGGCACGAAAGCCAGGGGAGCGAACGGG
rnacentral:rRNA from 1 species